AGCCCAACCGCCGUAUCUAAUACGAUGAGUGGUUCUAAAAACUAACGAAAGCAAACACCUCCUCGUGAGGGUGCUUUCGUUAGUCGUAUUUAGGAAUAGGUACGGGCUUCGGCUAAGGUCGGGUC
ncrna:unclassified sequences LOOT RNA